CAGUUACUAUUUUCGCGGAAAUAUACGUAUAAAAUAAGCUCAAAAGGUUAACUUUUGUACGUGUGUAUUGUAUGUACAUUUUUGUACAUGUAGAUAUUUUCGUAACAUGAGCUACAGAAAAAUACUUUGGCGUUAAUUUCGGUAUUUUAUGAACCAUUAAAACCAACAAUAAUGCAUAUUAGUCGAUUACAAUUUGAAGAAUAAUGCCACACUUCAAAAAUAACAAUACUAUUCUCUGAAGUAAUGAAAACAUUAACUACUUUGACAAGUAAAUACUUAUUUAUUCCAAUCCGUGUCGCUGAGGUUCAUGAAUUAGAUACACAAUUUCGGUUGAGCACAUUACCAAGAAAUCAAAAUGAACGUCAAUUUCUGGAAAUUUGUUGUCCUAAUAUUACUUUGUUGUGAGGCUAAUUCCAACCAAUUAGGCGGCGAGAAUUUUGCCAUGCUGACGGAUUGCGUCGAUAUUUGUGAGGAAGAGAGGAUCUGCUAUGACAAGAGAAAUGACCAAUAUGUUCCUGUCCAACAGUGCGAGAGGUUUUGUUCCGAGUACAUUAAAUUGCACAAAGUGUCACCUUGCUAACCUGCUCAGUUCUUGCAAGCUUUAGUUAGACACAAACAACUACAUAAUCUGGAAACGGACACAAAAAUCGUAUGCCAUAGGGAACCAAUUUUUUAAUUCAUAAUGUAUCACUAAUCUCGUCAUGGACAUGAAAUCCAAAAAGUUAUCUGCGUUCGAAUUAUUUCUACCGAUUGAAAUAAGAAUUACAAUAUUAGUGGAAUA